rnacentral:rRNA from 1 species
GUAUGAAGUUGGAAUCGCUAGUAAUCGCGGAUCAGAAUGCCGCGGUGAAUACGUUCCCGGGUCUUGUACACACCGCCCGUCACACCAUGGGAGUCGGAAAUGCCCGAAGUCUGUGACCUAACCGAGAGGGAGGAGCAGCCGAAGGCAGGUCUGAUGACUGGGGUGAAGUCGUAACAAGGUACC